rnacentral:lncRNA from 1 species
GACUUUAUCCUGCUUGCACUACAAGCAAUCUGGUUCCAAUUUUACAAUCUUGAGAUUGGUUCUUUGGGUGAACAUGUUUAGUUCUCAUUGUCGUUCAUUAAGCUGAGGACAGUGAUUUAUAAGAUACACAGUUGCCCAAGGCUCAGCAUUUAAAAGUGCCACAUAUACUUCUCCGUUUUGAGGUAAUGCCUUGGGUUUGUGCCUGGGUUUAAUUUAUGUUUUAAAACCAUGUUCGUUUGCAGCAUUUGGAGGCAUAUUCAUGGUUAAAUCUGCAGCUGCUGUGGAGCAAUGAGGAUCACUUGUGAAUGAGGCGGUUUCUAAACUGGUGCUGGGGUUUCUGGUG